CAUGUGCGCAUAAAAAAAUCAACAAAUGUUUUUUCCUGUAAAUACGGCGGUGAAGUUAGUUUCAGGUUGGAUAUAUUUUCCUGUAAAUACGGCGGUGAAGUUAGUUUUAGGUUGGAUAUAUUUUCCUGUAAAUACGGCGGUGAAGUUAGUUUCAGGUUGGAUAUAUUUUCCUGUAAAUACGGCGGUGAAGUUAGUUUCAGGUUGGAUAUAUUUUCCUGUAAAUACGGCGGUGAAGUUAGUUUUAGGUUGGAUAUAUUUUCCUGUAAAUACGGCGGUGAAGUUAGUUUUAGGUUGGAUAUAUUUUCCUGUAAAUACGGCGGUGAAGUUAGUUUCAGGUUGGAUAUAUUUUCCUGUAAAUACGGCGGUGAAGUUAGUUUCAGGUUGGAUAUAUUUUCCUGUAAAUACGGCGGUGAAGUUAGUUUCAGGUUGGAUAUAUUUUCCUGUAAAUACGGCGGUGAAGUUAGUUUCAGGUUGGAUAUAUUUUCCUGUAAAUACGGCGGUGAAGUUAGUUUUAGGUUGGAUAUAUUUUCCUGUAAAUACGGCGGUGAAGUUAGUUUUAGUUUGGAUAUAUUUUCCUGUAAAUACGGCGGUGAAGUUAGUUUCAGGUUGGAUAUAUUUUCCUGUAAAUACGGCGGUGAAGUUAGUUUCAGGUUGGAUAUAUUUUCCUGUAAAUAAAGCGGUGAAGUUAGUUUUAGGUUGGAUAUAUUUUCCUGUAAAUACGGCGGUGAAGUUAGUUUCAGGUUGGAUAUAUUUUCCUGUAAAUAAAGCGGUGAAGUUAGUUUUAGGUUGGAUAUAUUUUCCUGUAAAUAUGGCGGUGAAGUUAGUUUCAGGUUGGAUAUAUUUUCCUGUAAAUACGGCGGUGAAGUUAGUUUUAGGUUGGAUAUCUGACGGACAUUCUCUGAGGAUCUACCGGUGUCUUCUCACUCUCCAUAACCGGGAAUAACAACAGCAGCGCGGUUAAAUCUACUCGACACCCUCACUGUCAACGUCGGUGUUGAAUAAGGGACCGUCAAUAAAUUACCGGUUGAUGUUCUGAGAAAAGGCUGUUUUCCUUCAAUAGCUUCAUUGUCAUGUGACCAAAAGACCUAAUAUAUAGGUCUUAUAAUAGUACUUAUGUCCCUAAAGUUCUUUGAGUGCUCCUUACUUUCUCAACUUAAGAGGACAUGUGAAACAGUUAGAGUCAAGCCCUGCAUUUUAGAGCCCUGAACCAUCCAAAGGAACUUCGUAGAGUCCAAACUGUCUUUACUGAGACCUGAAACAGCAAUAUUUACACGACUUUGAACCUACUGUCUGUGCUGAGAGGCUGAGCUGAUGUCCGAUUACAUCCUCUGAGGCUUUUACACAUGAACAGACCCACAUGAUCAAAUUCAUGAGGUGGAUCUAUCCUAAUCCUCCACGGAGAGAUGAGAUGAGAUCUUAAAGUCCAUCAGAUAUCAGGAGAACCUUUGAUCCUUCAGCUCAUUUCAAUAGAUCUGAAUUCAUGAGCUGUUUUACAUUAACCUCCUAUAGAUGACUGUGGGCGUGUAGAAGACGAGGUUUAGACUCUCGGGUCUGUUAAGAUUUAAAAAAGAAACGAUGUAUGAAAGUGUAUUUGCACAAACUUUAAUAGAUUUGAAUUAUCUGUUAAAUUAUUUCACAGUUUCUGACGUAGAUAUACGCUAGCAUAGAUUUGACACACUGAUUGAUAAAGGAGACCCCAGAAGCAGAAACACCCUUACUUAGUGAAAUUUUAAACAUGCGAUUAAAGAUGUGAUUAACUGUGUCAAUACUGUGAUUAAUCCUGAUUUGUAAACUUAUUGUGUGACCGCCCUAAGAUGAAUAAUGUUUAUGGCUAACAAAGCUAACUACUGUUUUUUAACUGAAGACGUGACAUUUGUUCUCCCAAGGCUGAAUAUUAAAGUGUAGGUUUCUUAAUAAAGCAGCAAACUGGCAGUAAUAAGUGUUUCUUCAUCGUCUGUGUGUAAGAGUGAUUUUGUUUCUAUAUAAACAGUUUAAUAAAACCCUCAUGUGACUUUAUAAAUAAGAAACAGAUGAAUCAGGAUGUGCACGUCUGUCUGACUGUAUUUAGAGUAAAGUAAAUGAGGACAGUAAUAACCUGAUAUCCGCUGUAUUCCAGGAUUUCUCUCAUGAUGGCGUCAGUUUUUCUUCUUCUCUGAAACCAGUGUGAUAUCCACCGUCUUCAGGGACAAACAACCUCCAGCCUUUUCUCCCCACGGCGUCUCCUGCUGUGUUGAUCUCAUGACUCAGACUGAUUAUCUUCUGUUACAUCUUUUUCUCGCUCAGCUCCAUUCAGCCUUUCUAACUUCACAACAGGGAUGCUUUGAGAGAUGCUGGUGAAGAGGAGAAGUGAACAGUCCUCAAAAACAGCUCAGUGUUUUAGAGAGAGUCCCGGUAAAAAAAGCUCAAUCAGCUCAAGGUCUUCUCUCUGCCCUUUGUGUGUGAAGCAGCAGAUAAACUCAGAAAUCCACCUCACCAACCAUUUCAGAAUACCUUUGGAAACCAACCAAUAAAAAACAAGCCUGAAAAACUGCUCCACAUCUCCUCUCAGGCGUGAUGUUUGGUUAACCUCUCCUUUCAGUUUUCAUCUCGACUCUUCAAGUUGCAGGACUCUUGAAUUUCUGAAUAAAUAAUUUUUCUUUUGAAGAGAAAUAAUAAAAAACCAACAGAUGAAUCAGAACUGCAGGUACCUUCAGACCGAUCCCACAACAACAAAGGUGUCGACGUGAAAACGCCUCACAGACGCGUCCCUCACUUUGACAAGUUUUAACCCGUUUCACUUUUCUGGCUCAACGCGGGCCGGGCCGGGCCGGGCCGCAGAGAGGAACAUCUGCAGCGAGGUAACACUAAGUGGACUUUGUGGUUUUAAUUUUUAAAGAGAAGUCUGUGCUGUCACAAACACUAGCCCUGCUUUUUGUCACAGCAAACAAGCGUUUGGGAAUUCAUCCACCCAGGAGUUGUGCCCAAAAAGCUGAAAAACCCACUUCACUGUCCAACCCGCUCAGAGCCGACUGUGGAAUCACUCCAACAUCAGCUGUUUGUCUUUUAUAAUGAUGAUUAUUUUUGAUCAUCAACAAGCUGAAAACAAAGGAUGAGUGCGGGACAGAGACACCUGUGAUUUCACCUGUUCUGAUCCCUGAAAAAUCAGAAUUAAUGAGAUUUAUCAGACUGUUUUAAAUCCAGAAUAAACACAGAGUUCCUUCACUUCACAGACUUUCUGAAUUCAGAGAUCUGCAGGUGUGUUUACAUUUGCUCUUGUUGGUCGUAAAGAUGCACGAGUAUUUAUGAAGCAGCUUAAAGUCGAGUGUAGUUGUCGAAGAUCAAAAACUGACCUGCUCAGCCAAUCACAGACAGAGACCGAACACAGUACGGUCUGAAGGUUAGAGGUCGGUUAUUUAGGCACCGCCACGGAAGGAAGGAGGAGGUCAUGACUGAAGAGUCGUUCCUGCUCCAUUUAUUCAUGAGUUUAUUUGACUGAAAUCUGGUGGUUCAGAAAGUUUUCUGACUUAGUUUCUGUCGUCAAACUUCUCAGAUUAGGAGCAACAGAGAGAGUCGAACCCGAACCAAAGGUAAACAGGUAAACUCUCAGACUGUCUUUAUUACAUAAACACAGCUGUCAGGACGACCACGAUCACUGCAAACCUCGACUCAGGGAAAGAGACCAUCUCAGCAGCCCUACCUGUGAAACAUUUAUUAUACUAUACUAUGAUUUUUAUCAUACUGUACUGUGAUUUUUAUGAUACUACACUAUGACAUUUUUAUCAUACAAUGCUGUGAUAUUUUUUUCAUACUAAUUUAUCAAACUAUACUGUCAUUUUUUACAUACUAUACCAGGUCCUUUUUAAUAUAAUAAAAUUGAAUUUUUUUUAUCAUACUACAUUAUGAUAUUUUUAUUAUACUACACUGUAAAUGUGGAACUUUUAUCAUACUACUAUAUUUUUAUCGCACUAUACCAGGACCUUUUUUUACAACUAAAAUUUAAACUUUUUAUCAAACUACACUAUAAUAUUUUUAUUAUACACUAUAAAUUUGAAAUUCUCAUCAUACUAUAAUAUGACAAUUUUUAUCUUACUAUACUAAGAUAUUUUUAUCAUACUUUACUAUGACAUUUUUUAUUAUACUACACUUUAAUAUAACAUUAUAAUUUACAUUACAUAACAUUUUUGUCAUACAAUCCUACGACUUACUCUGACUCACAGUUUAUUCUUUUUCUCUGAUGGUCUCGGCUGACUUUAACGUAGAGAUAGUCUACAUAGAUGUACUCAGAUCUACUUCACUAACGUGAGGCUGAGAAAACGCCUCACUUCACCGCCCAGUUAGAUAUGAAUGUGAAUCUUUCACCAUCACAGUAAGUCCCUGAAGCUGGUACUUGAUAAAUCCCAUCAUGCAUUUCACAGAGAAUUACGAGACCUGCGGGAGGUGAUUAAAGCUGGCAGCCACAAAUCCAGGUGCGCCAAUUAGCAGCUAAUAAACACGACACCAUCGUUUAUUUCAAAGAACGAUCAAAGGAGCGCUCGCUCCGGUUCGGUGUUACUCUCACUGAUCUGGAGUUUUCAGGUCUGAAUCAAUAAAGAGGGACUUUUUUAGGAUGAUCUGGUCCUUAAUGAGUGUCCUACCUUUACAGAGUCCCUAAUGCGUUAUCAAUAACCGACUGAUCAGCGUUCGCAGCAGGCGUGAAAGUGAACCUUUCUCCUAAAGCCGCACAAAGACACACUGAUGGUUUCUGACAGGCUGCCACGGCCCGUCCUGCAGGACUCGUGUGUUGUCUCUGUCUGCUGGUGACACCGAACAUCCAGCCUGCAGGAAAAUAAAGGUUCACAGCAAAGUCACGUCCCAACACUGAGCUCCUGGCACCUCGCCCCAUCUGGAAACAUCACCCCUCCUCCACUUGAAUACACAAACACACGUCUGCACAGACAUGCCAAACAGCAGUUGGAGUUGGUGCUCUGUCAGGAGACGACUUUCAGUCCAAGCUUUAUUAGUCCGGCUCCGGCCAAACGAGCCCACAGAUAAGAGGCUGGCCUCAGUAAUCCGGACCACAUAUUGGAAAUCACCCUGACACACCAUACAGCGAUAAAAGCGGACUUCAUCCACAUUCAGACAUCCGAUGAGUCAGGAGAAGAGGCGCUGAUUCGCACGCUCGCUCCAAUAAACGGCGUCACUUUGGAGCAGGAAUGGGGGAGCAUCUGGACAGUGGAGAGGUAAAACACCACCACAGAGACUCAGGUCCGGCUCUUGGCAGGAGAGGAUCUAGUUUGGCGAGGUAGUUGGACAAGAACGACGGACAGUUUGUUUGUUUGUUAGACGAGGAGCCAGUUUGGUCCUCGGGACAAAGGGGCAUCUGGGAGGAUUAGGAGAGGAGGCCAACGGCGAGCUCUGUCUGCGGCGUUUAAGGCCAACAACAACAACGAGAACAACACCAGACACGGCCACGCUUCGACGGCGUUACCCCUCACUUCAACAAAGUGUUACUUUGGUUAAAACAAAAUACUGUCAGUUUGGAAAAUAAAGCAGAAAGUUUAAAAAAAACUGCAGUUCCUCUGAAGACCACUUGAGGCACGCUCUAAAAGUGAGUCGAUGCCCAUCAGGAUCCAUUUUAAAUGAACCACUUUGAAGUUCACAGUUUUAAGACGUCUGCAGGUCUGUCAGGGACCAGAGAGAGAGAAACUCUGAGAUUAUAGACUUUAAUCAAAUCAACAACGACCACGAAAAUCAGCACUUCCUCCGGUCAUUCUGAGCUGUUUACAUUUGAUUCAUGUGUGUCUGUAAAUAUAUAUGUACAUGUGUGACCGAAGUCUGAAGUUAAUGUCGAAAUAAAAAUGUCAUUUAAUAUGUAAGCCCUGCUGACAAUGGAAGAAAAGUGAUCUACUAAUGGAUUAUUUCAUUAUUUGUGAUGUGGCUUCAUAAACUGCAAAAGAGUACAAACAGACCAAACCCCAUUAAAAAAAAUGGUAAUUUAAGGCCUGGUAUGUGAGAUGCUUGUUUCUGUUUGACUGUUCGUUCUUCUGGGGAGGUUGAUGUUUCUUUUAUGUACAUUUAAUUUGAAUCAAUAUUAUUUAAAAUAUUUUCAUGAUUUUCUAUAAAACACUUUGUGCUACAUCUCAUGUAUGAAAAGUGCUUUACUAAUAAAGUCUGAUUGAUUGAUUGAUUGAUUGAUUCUGGACUCAGUGUUUUGGUUCACUUUCGUCAGUUAAUGAAACUCAGAGUUUAUAGAGUUAACAAACAUCAUGUGAUAUUAAGGUUUUUUUUCAUUUUUCAGUUGUUUCCUGCGUUUUAAAAUAUUUAGUUUAUUAUGUUAUGAAUGUUUGUUGUGGUCGACCUUGAGGGCCACCGUAUUGGUCAGAGUAAAAAGAGGAGAAACAGCGACAGUCAUGUGUGUAGGAGCAGAUUUUCAGAGUCCAAACUCACAGCUGGUGAAUCAGAGUGGAGGAAUAAUACAUGUGGAGCUCCUCCUCCUCCUCCGUGGGAGACGAGCGUGGACAGAUGGUUAACAGAAGCCUCUGGGUGAUUUUGGGGGAUAUGUACACACUUUAAGUUAAUUAAACUAGCUCUGUUUACAGAAAUAAUUAAACUAAUUCAUCCAGUUUUGACAGAGGGACGGCUCCGCUGGCGUCAGACCAUCAGUUCUCAGAGCGGCGGUCCAGGUGACGAGCUAAACACCAGAGUCAAUGUCAUCAAACACGGGCGCCGCGGCGUUUGGGAACCUUCAUCUGAGCAGCAAUCCUCUUUAAUCCUCAUUAAAAUGAUGGCAGUCACCACCCGUUCACUCGGUCAUUUCGCUCACAACACAACGUUUGUUCAGAUAACGGAAUCACCUCGGCGGCGGCGGGUCGGAGCGACGGCGGCCGGGCCGUGAAAAAUGACUUCUUCAACAGAAGCGGAUGUGACAGAGCGAUUGUUAGCUGGAGCGGCCGGCUCCCUCACUGGUCUGAUUUCCCCGAGGAUCCGAGGGCGUCGGACCUCCGAUCACUCACCUCGGGAUUACGCCGCAGACGUGUCAGAUCCCUACAAGUCUGAACACGCCAACGAGGCGGGUUCAUGAGCUCUCCUGGUCCUGCUGGGCUGGGUUCAGAGGCAGACGGUUUUAUUACAAUCUUCUCAAACAGACCCGGGUCUUACAGGACCCAGGUCAGAACCUCUGCAGCAGAAUCUCCUCCAACGUCUUUAUUUGACCACGAACAUCACGGACGCCGUCAGUCCUGAAACGUUUGAUCUGUCCGUGUGUUUGAGGGACUUCAGGUCAGAGGUCAUCUAUUAUAUCUGAACUGACGGCUGAACUUCACCUGCAGGUACCAACAGAAUAUAAAGGUGACGAUGAAGAAUCCACUUCAGAGUCCAGACUCUCUCCUGAUGAGGGGUCCAGUUCCUGCUCUAGUUCUGGUUCCAGUUCUUCUAGCUGACUUUGUUCUUCUUUGUUCUGGAUGAGAUCACAUGAGAUCACCCACAUCCCACCUGACCCUGACCUCUCCCAUCAUCAUGUCAAGAGCAGCAGAACCUCCUCUG
rnacentral:lncRNA from 1 species